AGAACACUAAGGCUAGAGAGGGAGCCUUGGACCCCCACGAAGCCAGCUCUGACUCAGGAACUUGUGGGAUUCUGCGCUAAUGCUUUAUUUUGCUUUUCCCCUGGUAGGAGAAGAGUCACACCUAUAGGAAUUCGUUUCACAAAAAAAGCAAGAUAUCAAACAUUUAUAAGGUUGGGCAGUAAUUACAGAGGCAACCACUGGAAGAGAAUCACAAGUUCAACAGAGCUUGUAAACAUUAAUCACCAAGUCAAAGAAAUAGAAUAAUUUCUUCUCCUUCUACACAUGUACAGGCUCUGGAUGAUCAUGGUAAGCCUUUGUGACAUUUUCUUUCCUUCCAGAUUGUUCUUGAAGAUGUUAAUUCAACCUCAUUGUUCAACUAAGUUCAGCCUAGUUAUUUAAGAUGUUUAUUGAACCUAGCUUUACUUUAAAAAAAAGAGGAAAUUAUCAAAUUGGUUUACUUGCAGAUGCUUACUUCAUGAAGAUUAUCUUGGGAUAGUCAUGGCUUAUUAAAAAC
rnacentral:lncRNA from 1 species